rnacentral:rRNA from 1 species
GGGGGGGGGGGGGGGGGGGGCGGGGGGGUGCGGGGCGGGCGGGGGCGCGGGUGCGUGGACCUGGUGGCGAGUGGCGAACGGGUGAGUAAUACAUCGGGACAGGUGCUGUAGGGGGGGGUAGCCCGGCGAAAGCCGGCGUGAUACCGCAUACGGUCUACGGAUGAAAGCGGGGGACCGGCGGGCGUCGCGCGAUAGGGUUGGCCGAUGGCGCAUUAGCUAGUGGGUGGGGUAACGGCCUACCAAGGCGACGAGCAGUAGCUGGUCUGAGAGGACGACCAGCCACACUGGGACUGAGCCACGGCCCAGACUCCUACGGGAGGCAGCAGUGGGGAAUUUUGGACAAUGGGCGAAAGCCUGAUCCAGCAAUGCCGCGUGUGUGAAGAAGGCCUUCGGGUUGUAAAGCACUUUUGUCCGGAAAGAAAUCCUUGGCCCUAAUACGGUCGGGGGAUGACGGUACCGGAAGAAUAAGCACCGGCUAACUACGUG